UACAGAGGGUGCAAGCGUUGCUCGGAUUUACUGGGCGUAAAGCGUGCGCAGACGGCCAGGCAGGUCGGAUGUGAAAGCCCCGGGCUCAACCUGGGAACAGCAUUCGAAACCAUCUGGCUUGAGUGUGGAAGAGGGAAGCAGAAUUCCAGGUGUAGAGGUGAAAUUCGUAGAUAUCUGGAGGAAUACCAGCGGCGAAGGCGGCUUCCUGGUCCAUUACUGACGUUCAGGCACGAAAGCGUGGGGAGCAAACAGG
rnacentral:rRNA from 1 species